UGGGAUUUAAGCAAUAGUAUAUUUGGCGUAUAUUGACGACUUUAUGUAUUAUCAGAGGUAUUCAUAUACCAUAACUUGCCUUAUCUAUCCCCAAAUCUAAAACCUCCAUAAUAUAUCAAGCUCACAAAUGUUAAGUAGAUGAAAAACACGACUGGAAGGGAGAACAGAUUGAGCAUGUAAAAUGGAACCUAGAAUAAAAACAUAAAAAUAAAGGCAUAAAGAUCAAUGUACUUAAAAAUCAGUCAAUAAUGUACUUCCAAUCUUCUUGCAUAUUGAUUUCAUACAUUUAUCAUAUUUCAGGCUUUGGAAUAAGAUGAAGUCACCCAAACUCCAUUGUGAAAUCUAGUCUCCUCACAAUCCGUCUGACCUCAGAGAGGCAAACAGUGAGUAAUUCAAAAUAUUUUUGAAUGAAAGUGUCAGUUUAAGAUCCUCAGCAUAAAACAUACCUACAAAGCCUAUUUGCAAAGUAAAUUUACUCUGGAUUCUUGAUACCUAUGAAAGUUUUUUCUAUUAUAUUUAUUUAAAAUUACAACAGUUUACAUUAGAAACAAGCUCAAACAAUUAAGGUAAAAGAUAAAUAACUGCAUACAGUUUAAUUUUACAAAAUGCAAACAUACAUCUUUCAUUGUUCCAUUAUCUGAGUAUUAAGCGCCACAUAAUUGCACGAGGCAUUUUCAAAUGUCUUAAAGGCUCUAAAAUUACAGAGUUGACUUUUGUGAAAUAGUCUUUAUUUUCCUCCGUUAUUAUACAAAUAAUUGACCACACAGAUUAAAUUUAAAUCGGAAUUGGAUAUGCCCCCUACAGAGUUCAUUUCUCUUGUGCAGCUAAAGGUUGGCAGCUUAUGAUGGCUCACAGAGCUUACUCAGGCCCUUGUGGGAUACAGAAUGGGGCUCACAUUUUCAUGAUUUAGGAUGUCUCGGCUGGGAGAGACCUGAGAAUCCCCUGGGAUCACAUCACAUCUAGUUUUGCCCAAGGCCACCUCCUUGCUAGCUAACCCAAGCUAAUUCUAAUAGUGCUCCUUUUCACUCUGAGAAAUGUCUGUUUGGGAGAUGGUACAGAUGAGGAAAUGGAAGCCUCAGGAUGUAGGUUCUCUGGACCAGACUCCUGCAGCAGAGACCUGUGUUUCCUCCUGGGGAUUCAGAAACCCAAGUCCCCCUGCCUUCAGAGGCGCUGCCACCCUACAUUGUGGGACCGAGGUGGGGAAGCAAAGGAGCCAUUGCUUUCAUCCUCGCCGUAGAAUGGAAAACAAUUCAUCAUCAUCAAAAUUACUCACCAAACCUGAGAGGAUGGCAGAAGAAAACAUGUUUACAUUAUUUUUUCUUUCAUUAAAAAGCAACACGUGUUUUUGCCAAUCGAUUGGAAAACACAGAUACAGAAAAAGGUAAACAAUUCAAAGAAAACUCCCUCUUCUAGAAAUAGUUAACAGUUACUAAUUGUAAAGACACAUAGGAGUUUCAGGAAGUGACUCCAAUUCUUGGUGUAAGAGAAUAUUUUCAUGGUGUGUUCCACUUUGAGAAACUUGAUCUGGUGACUCAGAAUUAUUUCUGAAACAAUACCCCCUUCCCCCACCCUCAACUCAAUUUCUUCUAAUUACUCUCUGAGAUAUUUGCCUCUGACACUCACAAGGGAAGAAGGGGAGAGGGAAGGAAGAAGAGAGGAGGAAUAACUUUAAUUUUAAUUGCCAAUAUGCCAAGAGUGGAAAGAUGGACCUGGGUCUCCUCUGGUACAGUAUCAGGACUGCAUGGCACACGGUGGCAAGGCCCAUGCCGGAUGCCCAGUGUCAGACGCCAUGCUGGGAGGAGGGGAACCUUCUGAAUGGACAGCCCUGCUCAACUCCUUGGGCCUAAUGUGGACUGGGAAAAUAGAUCUGAUUCCACCCCUGUUUCUGCAGUACUCAACACGACGCCAGGCCUGUACUGGGUGUUCAAUGUAUUUUUCUUGAAUGAGUUAAUGAGGAUGAUUUUCACAAAUUUGUUGUUGUUGGGCUCAUUCUAGUCCAAGUUAGAAAUAUAGAUCAAAGUGUUUCCAGGUGGUUUCAAAUUUAUUUUCUUCCUGCAAAUGUGUAUGAACAUCCAAUUAGUCUGUCAGACACUGGAGAUACCAGGGUGCAUAGGAAAAGGUAACUACUUUUGAGGAUCCCAGAGUCACCUAAAUAACCAAAUACCAGAGAGAACGUGGUGUAGUUGACCGAUUUAGUGAGACAUCCUUGGGUUCAAAUCCUAGCUCUGUAUUCACUAGUUUUGUAAUCUUGAGCAAGUUAUUUAUUAUUUUUAAUGUCCUUUCAGCAGGGCUGACGAUAAUGUUAAUUCAUAGGUUGUUUGAGGAUUAAAUGUGAUAACUGACGUAAAGCCCUUGGAAGACUGCCCAGCACAUGGCAAGCCUUAGAUGAAGGCGACUGCUACUACAAUUUAACAGCUGUGCAAUCUUGGGCAGGUGAUACUUGCUGCAUCUGUUUACAUAGGUGGAAAAUGAGGAUGGUAGCACAAUGAUUCAUCGUGACUCUUAAACGGCAAGACUUUUGUUGUUUGCAUGUGACUACAAGGUAUGGUACUGCUCAGAGCCUGUCCCAGAUCUCCUGGAUGAUGAAUAUGUGAGGAACAAAUAUGUGAAUUCUAUGUUUCACUGUUGCAACCUCAUUACAUCCUCAGAAUAAACUUGAGAAAUAGGCGUUAUGAUAUCCACUCAGCUGAUGAAGAAAUUGAGAGGAUGCUGGUUCAAAAUGUACGGAGUGGCCAAUCGAUUUAUUGCUGUGCAGGAAAAGGAAUGGCAUACAGAAGACUCCCCGGAAGAUUCUCAUCAAGCAAAGUCAAUUAGACUUGCUGCAGCAUGGGAGAAGAUUGCCUUGCAAGUCUUAACAUCUCAGAAUAAGAAAGUCAUGGGAGGGCAUCUGUAGAGUUUUGGGGCCUGGACAGUUUUGACAUAAUAGCUGUAGAUUGGUGGGAAUAGUCAGGCCAGGGUUUUGAAGUGAGUUUUGGUGAGCAAGUGUUAUUCUUGAUUAAUAAGCUAUUUAGUUGAUUCAGAGUCUUAUCUCCCAGGAUAAGGAUAUUCCUGGAGCAGAAACUCUUUCUGCCUAUUCCUGUAUUGUUUAGCACAGGCACAGGAAAGUGUACUAGCUUCAGUAUUGUUCAACAGAUCUUGGGAAAUCAUCUUGGCUUCAGUUCUCAAGAAGGAUAAAUUACUUGCACUGAGAUAAAAAUGUAGAAUGUGACCUCUAGGACUAAUUAAAGGGUAUGUAUGCAAUCGCCACCAAUUUCAAAUUCCAGUGCAAUUGCCUUUCAAGAACUCCAAAUGCCUCAUUUCUGUAAACUUCCACCCAGACAUGAUGUGCUGAGCUGAUGAGCUCCGUGACAAGUUGAAGACACUCAAGAAUGUGCCUUUAGAGAUCAGUUGUUAAACACAGUGGUCAAGAUUCCUAGAGUCCACAAACUCCUGGGAGGAUCAUGGGUAAGAACGUUGAGUUAAUCAAUUUCCUUUAGACACCAGUGAGAAUCAGAGCUAAAAGUAAUAAUUUGUCUCUAAAAAUAAAGAAAAUUGUAUUUUUUUGCAUA